AUCUAGUUGAUGAGUCCCAAAUAGGACGAAAUGUUCAUCAAACUGGAU
rfam:Schistosoma margrebowiei strain Zambia genome assembly, scaffold: SMRZ_contig0001745